AUCAAAAAUCUUUUAAUAAUCCUUUUUCGGGUACUUACAACCCUGGAUGGAAGAACCAUCCAAAUUUUAGGUGGAGGAAUGACCAACCUCAAUAAGUAUAUAACCCAACUCCUCCACCUCCGCAACCUCAUUAUGCACACGCACCCCCUCAAAAACCCAGUCUCGAAGAAACUUUGCAAUCUUUCAUGCAAGGUCAAGCUAAAAUCAAUGAUGAAUUAAGAAAUCAACUGACAACGCUGACCAUUGCUUUAAGUGCUCAAGAUACCAGCUCAACCACAACCUAACCCUCAAGUCUACGGCGGUAGCAAUGCAUCAUCUUCAACUUCGCAUAAAGAACAAGCGAAGAGUAUAAUAACUUUGCGAAGUGGA
rnacentral:lncRNA from 1 species